rfam:Jaapia argillacea MTCL 33604 unplaced genomic scaffold JAAARscaffold_10, whole genome shotgun sequence.
GCCGCCUUGGCUAAGUGGUAAAGCGUUGCACUUGUACGUAAUCCUUUACGGCGAUGCAAAGACCAGUCGUUCGAUCCGGCUAGGCGGCA